rnacentral:rRNA from 1 species
UGGGGAAUUUUGCACAAUGGGGGAAACCCUGAUGCAGCGACGCCGCGUGAUUUAGAAGGCCUUCGGGUUGUAAAAAUCUUUUUUACGGGAUGAAAAUGACAGUACCGUAAGAAUAAGGUCCGGCUAAAUACGUGCCAGCAGCCGCGGUAAUACGUAUGGACCGAGCGUUGUCCGGAAUCAUUGGGCGUAAAGGGUACGUAGGCGGCCUAGUAAGUUAGAAGUGAAAUAAUAUAGCUCAACUAUAUAAAGCUUUUAAAACUGCUAGGCUUGAGAGAAGGAAGGGAAAGUGGAGUUCCUAGUGUAGCGGUGAAAUGCGCAGAUAUUAGGAAGAAUACCGGUGGCGAAGGCGACUUUCUGGUCAUCAUCUGACGCUGAGGUACGAAAGCGUGGGUAGCACACAGG